rnacentral:sRNA from 1 species
UGAUCGGGACUCCCAACGUUUGGAAGC